AGUUAUUUACUCAGUAGAAAUGUCUAGCCCGGUGGUGAGAUGUUGAAGAUAUAUGAGACAAGGCCCCAGUGUCAGUGAGCUUACUGCCAAUGACUUACUUCCGGUGAGGAUGGCAAGUUCCUGGACAAUGCUGAAUCAUCUCACAUCCUGUGGUUCAUCGUCAAGGAUGUCAUGAUCUUACCAGACAGUAAACCAAUUCUCUGGAGAAUGACCACCUUGGAGGGCCAAUUUACAUCGAGUGUCUCACAAAGCCAGGUGAUAUUUUCAGGGAAGUGUUAUCAGCAUGAUGCAGCACCAAACAUUACAGCUAUUCCAUCUUCAUAUUAUAUCCCACCACUUUUUCAAAGCUCUGUCUUAGGGACUUCCUGGUGGCUCAGUGGUUGAGAAUCCGCCUGCCAAUGCAGGGGACACGGGUUUGAUCCCUGGUCCGGGAAGAUCCCACAUGCCGUGGAACAGCUAAGCCCAUGUGCCAAAACUACUGAGCCUGCACUCUAGAGCCUGUGAGCCACAACUGCUGAGCCUGCGGACCACAACUACUGAAGCCUGCGUGCCUAGAGCCCCUGCUCCGCAACAAGAAAAGCCACUGCAAUGAGAAGCCCGUGCACCACAACGAAGAGUAGCCCCCACUUGCCGCAACUAGAGAAAGCCCAUGC